CUCGCUUGAGCCCAACCUCCCACCCGUGUUUACUGGUUACCGCGUUGCCUCGGCGGGCCCACUGGGGCCUUGGUCCCGGUCGCCGGGGGGCAUCUGCCCCCGGGCCCGCGCCCGCCGAAGCGCUCCCGAACCCUGUCUGAACAGUGAGUCUGAGUACGAUUGAAUCAUUAAAACUUUCAACAACGGAUCUCUUGGUUCCGGCAUCGAUGAAGAACGCAGCGAAAUGCGAUAAGUAAUGUGAAUUGCAGAAUUCCGUGAAUCAUCGAAUCUUUGAACGCACAUUGCGCCCCCUGGCAUUCCGGGGGGCAUGCCUGUCCGAGCGUCAUUUCUGCCCUCCAGCACGGCUGGGUGUUGGGUGCUGUCCCCCCGGGGACACACCCCAAAGGCAGUGGCGGCGCCGCGUCGGGUCCUCGAGCGUAUGGGGCUUUGUCACCCGCUCGGGAAGGACUCGCCGGCGCUGGUCUUCCUCUUAGGCGGUCCUUCGGGGCUGUCUUCCUUCCGGUUGACCUCGGAUCAGGUAGGGUUACCCGCUGAACUUAAGCAUAUCA
rnacentral:rRNA from 1 species